UCGAUGGAGAGUUUGAUCCUGGCUCAGGACGAACGCUGGCGGCGUGCUUAACACAUGCAAGUCGAGCGGACCUUCGGGUCAGCGGCGAACGGGUGAGUAACACGUGGGCAACCUGCCCCAGGCUCUGGAAUAACUCCGGGAAACCGGGGCUAAUGCCGGAUAUUCACACCUUUGGGCAUCUGGUGGUGUGGAAAGAUUUAUUGGCUUGGGAUGGGCCCGCGGCCUAUCAGCUUGUUGGUGGGGUAAUGGCCUACCAAGGCGACGACGGGUAGCCGGCCUGAGAGGGCGAUCGGCCACACUGGGACUGAGACACGGCCCAGACUCCUACGGGAGGCAGCAGUGGGGAAUAUUGCGCAA
rnacentral:ncRNA from 1 species